GACGAACGCUGGCGGCGUGCUUAACACAUGCAAGUCGAACGGAAAGGCCCUGCUUUUGUGGGGUGCUCGAGUGGCGAACGGGUGAGUAACACGUGAGUAACCUGCCCUUGACUUUGGGAUAACUUCAGGAAACUGGGGCUAAUACCGGAUAGGAGCUCCUGCUGCAUGGUGGGGGUUGGAAAGUUUCGGCGGUUGGGGAUGGACUCGCGGCUUAUCAGCUUGUUGGUGGGGUAGUGGCUUACCAAGGCUUUGACGGGUAGCCGGCCUGAGAGGGUGACCGGCCACAUUGGGACUGAGAUACGGCCCAGACUCCUACGGGAGGCAGCAGUGGGGAAUAUUGCACAAUGGGCGGAAGCCUGAGGCAGCAACGCCGCGUGCGUGAUGACGGCCUUCGGGUUGUAAACCGCUUUCGCCUGUGACGAAGCGUGAGUGACGGUAAUGGGUAAAGAAGCACCGGCUAACUACGUG
rnacentral:rRNA from 1 species